CAACUUUCAACAACGGAUCUCUUGGCUCUCGCAUCGAUGAAGAACGCAGCGAAAUGCGAUAAGUAAUGUGAAUUGCAGAAUUCAGUGAAUCAUCGAAUCUUUGAACGCACCUUGCGCUCUUUGGUAUUCCGAAGAGCAUGCCUGUUUGAGUGUCAUUA
rnacentral:rRNA from 1 species